UCGUCAAUGGUCUAGUGGUGAGGAUUCGAAAUAUAUUUUUGAAGCCCAGGUUCGAUCCCCGGUUGGUGGU